GCCCGGGUAUCCCAAUUGGCAGAGGAAGUCGGCUCAAACCCGAUGCAGUGUGGGUUCGAAUCCCACCCCGGGCA
rnacentral:tRNA from 1 species